rnacentral:tRNA from 2 species
GGAUGCUUAGCUCAGCUGGAUAGAGCACUGCCCUCCGAAGGCAGGGGUCAGAGGUUCGAAUCCUCUAGCAUCCGCCA